rnacentral:rRNA from 1 species
GUUUGAUCCUGGCUCAGGACGAACGCUGGCGGCACGCUUAACACAUGCAAGUCGAACGAACUCUUCGGAGUGAGUGGCAGACGGGUUAGUAACACGUGGGAACCUACCCUUUAGUACGGAAUAACGUCGAGAAAUUGUCGCUAAUACCGUAUACGCCCUUCGGGGGAAAGAUUUAUCGCUAAAGGAUGGGCCCGCGGCAGAUUAGCUUGUUGGUGAGGUAAUGGCUUACCAAGGCGACGAUCUGUAGCUGGUCUGAGAGGAUGAUCAGCAACACUGGGACUGAGACACGGCCCAGACUCCUACGGGAGGCAGCAGUGGGGAAUAUUGGACAAUGGGCGAAAGCCUGAUCCAGCGAUGCCGCGUGGAUGAUGAAGGCCCUAGGGUUGUAAAGUCCUUUCGAUGGUGAAGAUAAUGACGGUAACCAUUAAAGAAGCCCCGGCUAAUUUCGUGCCAGCAGCCGCGGUAAUACGAAAGGGGCAAGCGUUGUUCGGAAUUACUGGGCGUAAAGCGCGCGUAGGCGGCAUGCCAAGUUGGGGGUGAAAUCCCGGAGCUCAACUCCGGAACUGCCUCCAAAACUGGCAAGCUAGAG